CCUACGGGGGGCAGCAGUAGGGAAUCUUAGACAAUGGGGGCAACCCUGAUCUAGCCAUGCCGCGUGUGUGAUGAAGGCCCUAGGGUCGUAAAGCACUUUCGCCAGAGAUGAUAAUGACAGUAUCUGGUAAAGAAACCCCGGCUAACUCCGUGCCAGCAGCCGCGGUAAUACGGAGGGGGUUAGCGUUGUUCGGAAUUACUGGGCGUAAAGCGCACGUAGGCGGAUUAGUAAGUUAGAGGUGAAAUCCCAGGGCUCAACCCUGGAACUGCCUUUAAUACUGCUAGUCUUGAGUUCGAGAGAGGUAAGUGGAAUUCCGAGUGUAGAGGUGAAAUUCGUAGAUAUUCGGAGGAACACCAGUGGCGAAGGCGACUUACUGGCUCGAUACUGACGCUGAGGUGCGAAAGUGUGGGGAGCAAACAGGAUUAGAUACCCUGGUAGUCCACACCGUAAACGAUGAAUGCCAGACGUCAGCAAGUAUACUUGUUGGUGUCACACCUAACGGAUUAAGCAUUCCGCCUGGGGAGUACGGUCGCAAGAUUAAAACUCAAAGGAAUGACGGGGGCCCGCACAAGCGGUGGAGCAUGUGGUUUAAUUCGAAGCAACGCGCAGAACCUUACCAACCCUUGACAUCCUGUGCUACUACCAGAGAUGGUACGUUCCCUUCGGGGACGCAGUGACAGGUGCUGCAUGGCUGUCGUCAGCUCGUGUCGUGAGAUGUUCGGUUAAGUCCGGCAACGAGCGCAACCCACAUCUUUAGUUACCAGCAGGUUAAGCUGGGCACUCUAGAGAAACUGCCCGUGAUAAGCGGGAGGAAGGUGUGGAUGACGUCAGUCCUCAUGGCCCUUACGGGUUGGGCUACACACGUGCUACAAUGGCAGUGACAAUGGGUUAAUCCCCAAAAGCUGUCUCAGUUCGGAUUGGGGUCUGCAACUCGACCCCAUGAAGUCGGAAUCGCUAGUAAUCGCGUAACAGCAUGACGCGGUGAAUACGUUCCCGGGCCUUGUACACACCGCCCGUC
rnacentral:rRNA from 1 species